AUCGCUUCUCGGCUUAAUAGCUAAGAUCAAAGUGUAGUAUCUGUCAGGGGGGUAGCACUACGUGUAUUUUUGAGGAAGAAUAUUUUUU